rnacentral:rRNA from 1 species
CGGUAAUUCCAGCUCCAAUAGCGUAUACUAAAGUUGUUGCAGUUAAAAAGCUCGUAGUUGGAUUUCUGCGGGGACGGAGCGGCCGGUCGCAACUUGCGACUCGAGCUAGCGCUUUCCCCGCAUCCUGCCGUGAACCGUGUUACCAUUAGUUUGGUGGCGCUGGGGAUCGGCUCGAUUACUUUGAGAAAAAUAGAGUGUUCAAAGCAGGCCAUACGCCUUGAAUAAGUUAGCAUGGAAUAAUGACUAAGGACUUCGGUUCUAUUUUGUUGGUGUUCGGGACUGAAGUAAUGAUUGAUAGGGACAGUUGGGGCGGUCUGUAUUCCAAAGCGAGAGGUGAAAUUCUUAGACCUUCGGAAGACAAACAGCUGCGAAAGCGUUCCGCAAGGAUGUUCCCUUUGAUCAAGAACGAAAGUUGGGGGAUCGAAGACGAUCAGAUACCGUCGUAGUCUCAACUAUAAACUAUACCAGCUAGGGAUCGGUCAACGUUUAAUCAUUCGACUUGAUCGGCACCUUAUGAGAAAUCAAAGCAUCUGGGUUCCGGGGGGAGUAUGGUCGCAAGGCUGAAACUUAAAGGAAUUGACGGAAGGGCACCACCAGCCGUGGAGCCUGUGGCUUAAUUUGACUCAACACGGGAAAACUUACCAGGUCCAGACAUAGUAAGGAUUGACAGAUUGAUAGCUCUUUCUUGAUUCUGCGGGUGGUGGUGCAUGGCCGUUCUUAGUUGGUGGAGUGAUUUGUCUGGUUAAUUCCGUUAGCGAACGAGACCCCAGCCUGCUAAAUAGCGCGGCUGAGCUUUGCUCGGUGCGAGCUUCUUAGAGGGACUAUGAUGCGCGAUAGCACAUGGAAGUUUGGGGCAAUAACAGGCCUGUGAUGCCCUUAGAUGUUCUGGGCCGCACACGGGCUACACUGGCGCCUGCAACGAGCAUAUCAGCUGGCCCGAGAGGGUCUUGGCUAAUCUUUUGAACCGGCGCCGUGCUUGGGAUUGACCAUUGCAAUUGUUGGUCAUGCAACGAGGAAUGCCUUGUAAACGCGAGUCAUCAGCUCGCAUUGAAUACGUCCCUGCCCUUUGUACACACCGCCCGUCGCUCCUACCGAUGAAUGUUCCGAUGAAAUUUUCGGAGAGCGCCAGAGAACGGGGUUCCGCCUUGCAGAUCUGGAGGCUCAAAGUCACUUAAAUCUGAACAUUUCGAGGAAGGAGAAGUCGUAACAAGGUAACC